rnacentral:rRNA from 1 species
CACGGUUGGGCGAGGCGACUCUCUGGUCUGUAACUGACGCUGAGGAGCGAAAGCGUGGGGAGCGAACAGGAUUAGAUACCCUGGUAGUCCACGCCGUAAACGAUGAGUGCUAAGUGUUAGGGGGUUUCCGCCCCUUAGUGCUGCAGCUAACGCAUUAAGCACUCCGCCUGGGGAGUACGGUCGCAAGACUGAAACUCAAAGGAAUUGACGGGGGCCCGACAAGCGGUGGAGCAUGUGGUUUAAUUCGAAGCAACGCGAAGAACCUUACCAGGUCUUGACAUCCUCUGACAAUCCUAGAGAUAGGACGUCCCCUUCGGGGGCAGAGUGACAGGUGGUGCAUGGUUGUCGUCAGCUCGUGUCGUGAGAUGUUGGGUUAAGUCCCGCAACGAGCGCAACCCUUGAUCUUAGUUGCCAGCAUUCAGUUGGGCACUCUAAGGUGACUGCCGGUGACAAACCGGAGGAAGGUGGGGAUGACGUCAAAUCAUCAUGCCCCUUAUGACCUGGGCUACAACGUGCUACAAUGGACAGAACAAAGGGCAGCGAAACCGCGAAGGU